UACGGAAGGCAGCAGUGGGGAAUAUUGCACAAUGGGCGCAAGCCUGAUGCAGCCAUGCCGCGUGUAUGAAGAAGGCCUUCGGGUUGUAAAGUACUUUCAGUCGUGAGGAAGGUGUUAAGGUUAAUAACCUUAGCAAUUGACGUUAGCGACAGAAGAAGCACCGGCUAACUCCGUGCCAGCAGCCGCGGUAAUACGGAGGGUGCGAGCGUUAAUCGGAAUUACUGGGCGUAAAGGGCACGCAGGCGGUUAAUUAAGUUGGAUGUGAAAUCCCCGGGCUUAACCUGGGAAUGGCAUUCAAGACUGGUUAGCUAGAGUCUUGUAGAGGGGGUAGAAUUCCAUGUGUAGCGGUGAAAUGCGUAGAGAUGUGGAGGAAUACCGGUGGCGAAGGCGGCCCCUGGACAAAGACUGACGCCCAUGUGCGAAAGCUGGGGAGCAAACAGGGAUUAGAUACC
rnacentral:rRNA from 1 species